CCAAAGGCACGCUCAGGUCAAAAUGCGACGGACCGAAAAAUCCUUCACGGCACCGGAAAAAAAACUCAUUACGCGACACUUCAAUCUCGCUCCCACAAUCAAGAAUUUCAACAAACAAAUACAAAUUCGAAUUCAACAUCGAAGAAGAAAUAGGAACGUAAUUGAAUCCGCGUGGAAAUUCGACAUCGAAAGUAGGCUUCAAAAAUGAAUCCGAAUCGAAGUUGCGCGUGA
rnacentral:lncRNA from 1 species